ensembl:lncRNA
AAAAAUUGUAAAAAAAUUCUAAUCUUUUAUGUUUGAAAAACUCAGAUAUGAAAACAUUAUCUCUGUUCUGAUUGGCUGCUCUACAAGGUUACAAAUUUGAUAAGACUGCGCUGGAAAAAGUUAAAAGCCAUUUUUGGUAAUUUGGAUGUGUGGAUCCAAUAGACUGCAGUAGCACAUUUAGCACUCCUGCUUUAGGUUGUUAGAACAGGCAGUUAUAUAUUAAUGUGUUGCUUGUAAUUUAUUAAACUUUAUGAAUUCAUAUCCCAAGUUUGUCAAAUUCUCUCUCUCUCUUUCUAGUGUCUCUCUGGAUGCUAUGCCACUCACUCCCACGUCCCUUCCCCAUUCCAGUGGUAGUAUCAGUGUGAUUGAUGAAAGUGGAGUUGAGGUGGAGGUGAAACUGAGGAGGUCCAAGAAGAAGAAGAAGCAAGGAAGAGGCAGCAUGAUCUUUAUCAGUGAAGAGAAAGAGAGGACCAACACCCUGGACUGCAAACGACUGUCAAAGAAGCAGGAGUUCCGCAGUGACACAAACUUAUCAGAGCCCACUAUGGAGAGCAGCCUAGCAAGCAGUAACUCCAGAUCACUGCCUACUAUUACAGGCCUAUCUCUGAGCGUAGCCAAUGGCAGUGAGGAAAUAGAGUCAGCCAGAUCUAGACGAGACAGUAAGAGCAUGUCUGUGUGCCUUCCUUCUGACCGCACCAGUGAUCGGCGCUCAAAGGGAGUCAUUAACCUGAUCUUUAAGUCUCGGGUAAGUUAAACAUAUGCACAUAUAGAACAACUGCAUUUUAACCCCUUAUGUUUCAGUUGUUUAUCAUAUGUGGUAUCAUAUAUCUCAGUACCAUUAACCUUAUUCAUUCUUCAUUACAUUCAGUUGUGUGUAUGUUUUUUUUUUUUUUUUUUACAGUUGAGCUCCAAGCCUGAAGAUGGAAAAGCUCCUGACUCUUCCAGCGAUAAAGCAUCUACUCAUUUUUAAAUUGUGAAAAUCUAAUUGUUCUGUGUAUUAUCAGCUGUAUCUGGUAUUAUCAGGAAUAUUACUGGACUGUUGAAGGCAAAACUGUUUAUGUGAACUUUUUAUAAUAGUAGCCUGCAAGCAUGUACAGAAUAUGAUGGAGCUUUAUAUACAAUAGUAAAUGUUUAAAAAGUUCUAAUAAUGUGAAGUGAAAAUAUAAGAUGAGCUUUGUAUGAAUCUUCUUUUUACCAAUGAUAUUUUCUAAUAUUGAUAAAUGAACAAGUAAUUAUUAAUGCAUCAGCACCAUUUCAGCUUUUAUCAGUAUAAGUAUCUACUGUAUGUGUACAUCUAUUUUAUUAUGCAAGCAAGUAGCCUCUGGAAGGUUUGUCACAUAAUGCUUAGUGCUUGGAAGUAAGUAAUGAUUGAAGUAUAAUGCAGAAACAAAAUCAGGUCUUUAUCAGUCUGAACUGCACUUAAUAGGGAGCAAAAUUCACUGUUGUACCACAAACCCAAACAGGCUUUCCUGUCUGCCAGAAAGUUUGUAUUAAUUAUGGAUUUCUAUAAAAGUAGCAGAUGUUUUGUAGAUGAUAACACAGCAUGUAAUAAAACAUAACACACAGUUCA